UCUUCCGUAGUAUAGUGGUCAGUAUGCGAGCUUGUCACGCUCGAGACCCGGGUUCAAUUCCCGGCGGGAGAG
rfam:Neonectria ditissima strain R09/05 contig_269, whole genome shotgun sequence.